CUGAGGUUAGGAUGUCCUCGGGUGGGACUGAAUAAACACCUUGGACUUUUUCCUCCAACGGAGUCCGACUCCUUCCUAUGUCUUCGGCAAGGUCUCUCCCGUGAUAAAGGGAAAACCCCCUUGUCUGCUUCUCUGGUUCCCAAGGUCCAGAGGAGCAUUCCCUGUCUGUCUGCAGUGUCAGAGGUAGCUUAGGUGGACGGAGCCACUGCUCCGAGGACACUGCGGCACAGCCUUACCCAUUCUACGACUCUGUGGUUCUGUGCCUCUAAGAAGCUUGAUCAACGAACUACUACUUGCAAUCACCAACAACUUGACAUUUGUAGGAGAUUCAGGCUUAAUUCUGUACCUGAAGGGCAUUGGUGACUUGAAUCAGUCCUAGGGUUUAUUCAACCUCAAGUGAAGUUAACAGCACAUCAAGUUCUAAGGAUUAUUUUUAACCUUUAUAUUAGUGUUUCAUUGCUGCCUGAUGAAGCCUCCAUCCAAUGGAAAAAAUUUUCUUCUAACAAUUCAAGAUCAAAUCCUAAAUCAUUAUAGCAGGCCUGGAAUGGGUGCACAGCUGGAAUGUGAACAUCACAGAAAUGUAUAUAGUGAAACGUCUGGAGGUGGCAGAGGGAGCCAGGAGGCUGCUGCUGGCUUCUCAGCAGCCCACUUUGCACCCAGCCAUGCCAGAAACCUGGGGACUGCUCUCUGAAUUUUCUGCUUGAAAACGGAUGAGGACUUGAGACUAGAAUUCCUCUCUCUCUCCUGAACGCUUUGCUUUAAUGCACCACACCGAUACCACUUGAAUACCGGAGACUGGCACUUCAUAUUUUGCAUCCUAGUAAAAUUAAUUGUUCCUGUGUUUGAUUUCAUUUCCUUGACUCCUAACCUCCAAGUAGAACAAGAAAAACUUAAUAGUGUUGGCUAUGUAGGCGGAGAAGGGGGAUUUAUGUGGGUGGAGAAGGUCUUGAAAUGAGCCACUCAUCUGACAGAAAACAAGAAAACACUUUUUUGGAAAGUUCAGUUUAGUAGUUUAAAAAGUAUUUACAUAUACUGCAUCAAAAUAAGUUUGUACAGUUGUCAAAUAUAUCUUGAAUAUUAGAUUUUUCAUUUCCUCUGAUGCUCAUUGAGUUCAACUAUCCCAAACAAACCUUUAACAACUUCCCCGCUGGAAUAUAAUUUCCUUCUGCUGUGUUACAUUCUUUGUUUCAUUUUGCAAAAUAAACAUCUAACUGGAGAGUGGGUGGAGACAGACUGCAAUGUAUCUUCUAAUAUUUUGGCCAGUGUUACAUCUGCUGGGGAUACAAUUUGAGGAUGGUGGAAUUUAGAAUUUUGUCCAUACUGGAACAGAAUUACUUUUUUUCCUUGACAUCAAUGCACUAUGUGUUAAAAUAUGGAGUAGAACUGUGCUGGUUUAUCCUCUUUGUCCUCCAGUGCUUAGUUUCAUUUGAAACAAAGUUCUACUACUGAUAACCUUGACUGCAAGAAAAGCCUCCCACUUAGAUCUUUAUGAAGUGUGACAUCAGCUUUUAUUUAAAGUUCAGAUGAGGAGAAAAAUCUACUUUUUAGUGGAAACUGAAGGUAGCAUCUGAUUUUUCCUUGCUGGCAGUAGCACCAAAAACUGUUAGCCUUUACAUAGCAAAGUUUUGUGUUUUCUAGGAGCUGACAAAUGAUGCUUUCACCACCCCUUCAAUGCGGGAACAAAACACACGCAAUUCAUCUGUAAUGUAAAAUCAAGAUCAAUACCACAGACUAACUUGGUUCAGCGUACAGCUGAUUAGAAUUUUAUGCCUUUUCUGUCUGAAAAUGGUUAAAUAGAGAAUCCCACUUACAAAACACAGGGUGAGGAAAAAUUCUAGAUUUAUCAUUCUUAAAGCUGUAACCUGAGAUGUCAUCAGGUCCACAGAGGCAGCAGCCCAUGAUAAUACAGGAUGUAAGAAAACCACACCAUGCUUUUAUGUUCUUUCUCUUAUUAAUAUAAUGUUUGUGCAUUCAGCCUGCCUGAAAACAGUCCCCC